AGGCCUUCGGGUCGUAAAGCUCUGUUGUCAGAGAAGAACAAGUACCGGAGUAACUGCCGGUACCUUGACGGUACCUGACCAGAAAGCCACGGCUAACUACGUGCCAGCAGCCGCGGUAAUACGUAGGUGGCAAGCGUUGUCCGGAAUUAUUGGGCGUAAAGCGCGCGCAGGCGGUUCCUUAAGUCUGAUGUGAAAGCCCCCGGCUCAAUCGGGGAGGGUCAUUGGAAACUGGGGAACUUGAGUGCAGAAGAGGAGAGCGGAAUUCCACGUGUAGCGGUGAAAUGCGUAGAGAUGUGGAGGAACACCAGUGGCGAAGGCGGCUCUCUGGUCUGUAACUGACGCUGAGGCGCGAAAGCGUGGGGAGCGAACAGGAUUAGAUACCCUGGUAGUCCACGCCGUAAACGAUGAGUGCUAAGUGUUAGAGGGUUUCCGCCCUUUAGUGCUGCAGCAAACGCAUUAAGCACUCCGCCUGGGGAGUACGGCCGCAAGGCUGAAACUCAAAGGAAUUGACGG
rnacentral:rRNA from 1 species